GGAAGAAUAACUCAACAGUUAGAGUACUUGCCUAGGAAGCACAAAGUCCUGAGUUCAAACCCCAGUGCUGCCA
rnacentral:tRNA from 1 species